GUAAAUAUAGUUUACAAAAAUACUAGACUGUGACUCUAGAGACAGAAGCUAUCGCUCCUUAUUUACC
rnacentral:tRNA from 1 species